UUCACGCGCUAACAGGUAUAGCUCGGGAGAAUGGUUCGAGGCUUUUAGCCUUUUAGUAUACCUUCGGCAAGCAGAGUGAGUUUUACGGUGCCACGGUGUAGUGAUCUGAUUGUAAUGGUGCUAUGAAGUCAAUCAAUGGUUGUGAUGCAUGGAGAUAAUGUUGCAACAGAAUUGAGACAACGAAUACUUCAGUAAUUAAAUUUAUUGCAUCUGAGUAGAAUAAAUCGAAAGCACCUGUCAGAAACUCUCUGCCUCCAUUUGUUCGACGCUGAAGGGCUGCUACAGUAAAAAUCUUCGUGCAAGCAAGUUGGAUGGCGCAAAGCCACAUGUGCCACAAAUAUGCUGUCUUUUGCAGUCUUUAGAAAUAUGCCCCUUUCUCAGACAUCCAAAACAAAGGAAAUUUCUCAUCUGAAACCUUUGAACACAUUAAAAGUGGAGAAGUGAAGGGAUUGCAAGCUAUCUUAGACUCCUUCUGCAAGAAGUCUGCAAAUCGCUUAAAGCUUGGAUAAUCACCAGUCAUGUCCAACUCUUCAACACAAUUUUGUUCCAUUUGCGCACGAUCCACUCUGCCAUCCACUGAGCUAAAACACUAAGAUAGGAUCUGCAGUAAAAUCAGUGCUGAUGGCACCACAGACGCACUGGUGUUCCUGGUGUCCUGUGUUUGUCUGGGCAUGGAUCCAUCGCUGGAGCGGCUGGAGCUCUGGGCAGAUGGUUGGCAUCAGCAUUCAGCCACUGUUUCAGCAUAACUUCCCCCUGCGUGCCCACACACCAGAUCAGGCUAUGAUGCCCCCAGAGAGGACAGAGGAAGAGCGAGAGAGAAGAAAAAAGCGAAGAUCAUAAAAGAUGGUUGCCUUACUCGCCUCAUAUUUGAUCUAUUUUGGUAUUUUGCACUCACUGUGAUUUUAAUAGUGUAGUCCUUAGGAGGCAUUUACAUGACACUAUUUUUAACUAAAAAAUGUUUAUGCAAUUUGGCAGUUCAUUUACGGGACAACAGGGUUUGGUGACCUGAAAACUCAAUCUUUUGAAAACGGGUUUCAAUGUGCAAGUUUUUUUUUAACAAAAAUGUGAAUUUGUGAAACAAGUGACGUCAUGUGCAUGUGUAUUAUAUGGUCAGUCUAUAGGUUUUUAUAUGUGCACAGUCACAUAUCAUGUUUCUUUAAAGUUAUGUCGCCAACUACUGGCUGGAUAUGCAUAAUACAGAAUUGUUUGGUCAUUUUUGCAGCUAUAUGUCAACAAGGUCUGUAUGUAAAAUUUUCCAAAACGCAAAGGAAAAACUUUUGUUUUUAGUGCAAUCUAUGUUUAAAGUGACAAGAUGAAUGAUAGGAUGCACAUAAAUAUGCAACAAAGCGAUAUAUGAUUUCGAGUCAUAUGAUUAUGACUUGGUAGGAUGUCCCAACACCCCCGGUUCUGCUACACACUGAGAAGUAUGUACUUUUUCUUCACAAAACACAAAUACUUUUAGAGUUGUAGAGACUUACAGAAAUCAUAACACUCAAUAUGUUUGAAAUGUGUGUAUGUUUGAUUAUAAACACAACAAGGUUGUAAAAGCAGCUAGAGAGUAGAUGAGUUUACCUUUUUUUCAUUGUGAUAAUGUUUAACAUCAUUUAGCCACUGGUUAGCAAGCACCUAUUUCCAGAUAAGUAAACAAUUUAUUAAAAAUCACAAGUGGUUAUUAUUGAUGUAUUUUGCAUUGUAGGAUAAAACAUGAAAAUAUGUUAACUAUAUGUAUAA